UUUGAAUAACAAACUGACACACAGCAGUUUUAUUUAUUUAGUUCAAAGAAAACAAAGUUCAUAGAUGUGAACAAGAAAAUCUCUUAUAUAUUCUAAGAGAUCUUAUUAUUCGGAAUGAAGCAAACCGAAAUGCACUCACACAAUUUACUGGCUAUGGUGCCCAUGACAUCCUUUUACUUUAACACUGCACUUAACCAGAUUCAUCAGGGUUUCUUCCAUAUUGAGGGGCUACAAGGAGAUCAAGAUUGUUAUUUCCAAUCCCAUCAUCAAUCAUACAGCCAUGAAAUGGAGCGAUGCUAGCCUCCAACCAUUCCUUAUUGGCUGAAAAUUUCAAAUCAGAAAACCUGUUCGUAACGGCAUAUAUUAAUGUAAGAAUUAUAAAUGGAAUUCAACUUAAUAUGGCCUGAUGAAUUACCUGCAUAAACAGUCUCCAUGUUCUUCAAAUCAGAAAAUAUCUCUGCUAGCUUCUGCACAAGUAAUUAAGGAGCGUUUGCUA
rnacentral:lncRNA from 1 species